GUUCCCCUGACGACUGUUUAUCAAAAACACAGGUUCCUGCUUAACUCGAAAGAGGAUGUAUAGGAACUGAAGCCUGACCAGUGCUGGAAGGUCAAGCUUGCCGGUCCGUCUUUGACGGGCUGAGUGAGUGAAGCCUCAGUAAACGUCGGCGGUAAGAUAAUAGUUGCCGCCCUUGAGAGGAAACUUUCAAGAAAAAAACUCGACCAUAUGCUGGAAACACCGCGCAUAUUGAAAUACUCGCUGUUGACUAUAUAAUUAAUCAAUGGCAGUAACAAAGUUCAAUCGAAGCGGUCAAUCAGCAGGAAAGACUUCUAAUAAAGGUCUCGGGUAUUAUUUGAGUGGUUUUGCAGAUGGUGAAGGAAGCUUUAAUGUUUCCCUUAUUAAUCGAAAACAAGAUUAUCGACACGGAUGGAAAGUCAGUCCGUCAUUCAAUGUAUCUCAGAAAGAUGACACUAUUCCACAUAUCUUUAAAAAUUAUUUAGAGUGUGGGAAGAUAAGAUACAGGAAAGACGGAGUUUGUUACUUUGAAGUUCGGAGUAUUGAAGAGCUAACUCAAAUUGUUAUUCCCUUUUUUAGGGAGUAUCCCUUAAGAUCAAAGAGUAAACGAGAUGUGUUUGAAAAGUUUUGCAAAAUUAUGCAAAUAAUAGAAAACAAAGACCAUCUUAAAAAAAGAGGAAUCAAGAAGAUACUCGAAAUAAGAGAAAGUAUUGAAGUUGGUAGAGAAAGAAAAUAUACGAAAGAAGAAAUACUCAAAACUUAUUAGAAGAAUCCUCAGAGACUAUACGUCGAGCCCCUUUCUAAAAAGGGUGAAGAUAUAGUCCAAGCCUUAUGGCGACAUAGGGAAUUAGGUUAUGAACUAUAACCGUCUUAAAGUAGCGUAAUCCCUUGCCGGGUAAGUUCCGGCCCGCACGAACGGCUUAACGAUUGGGGGGCUGUCUCGACGAGGCGCCCAGUGAAAAUGCAAUACCGGUAAAGAUGCCGGUUACCUGUGGCAAGACGAAAAGACCCCGGGAGCUUUACUGUAUCCUGAUAUUGGGUCCUGGGUCUAACUGUAUAGCGUAGGUGGUAGGCUUUGACGCUCGGUCGCCAGACUGGGUCGAGCCGCCCAUGAAACACCACCCUUUUAGGUCCUUGAUUCUAACCUCUAUUAACCAUAGCUGGAACAGUGUCAGGUGGUCAGUUUGAGUGGGGCGCUCUUCUCCUAAAUUGUAACGGAGAAGUCUACAAGGUCGGCUAACUCCGGAUGGAAAUCGGAGUGAUAGCACAAAGGCAUAAGCCGGCUUAACUGCAAGGCGGAUAAGCCGCGCAGGUACGAAAGUAGAGCUUAGUGAACCGACGUGUUUUCGUAGAACACUCGGAGAUCAUCAGAUAAAAGUUACCCCGGGGAUAACAGGCUGGUAGGAUCCGCGAGUCCACAUCAACGAUCCUGUUCGGCACCUCGAUGUCGGCUCAUCACAUCCUGGGGGUGUAACCGCUCCCAAGGGUAUGGCUGUUCGCCAUUUAAAGUGGUACGUGAGCUGGGUUCAGACCGUCGUGAGACAGGUCGGUCUCUAUCUGCCACAGGCGUAGAAUCUUGAAGGGAGUCGUCCCUAGUACGAGAGGACCGGGAUGAACGAACCUCUGGUUUACCGGUUGUUCCGCCAGGAGCACUGCCGGGUAGCUAAGUUCGGAACGGAUAAGCGCUGAAAGCAUCUAAGCGCGAAGCCGACCCUAAGAUUAGGAUUCAUAGAUACCUUAGAGAUGAUAAGGUUGAUAGGCUGCAGGUGUAAGCGUCGUAAGGCGUUCAGCCGAGCAGUACUAAUUUAUCAUUACGCAUUUUUUG
rnacentral:rRNA from 1 species